rnacentral:rRNA from 1 species
AUUGAACGCUAGCGGCAUGCCUUACACAUGCAAGUCGAACGGCAGCGGGGGAGCUUGCUCCCGCCGGCGAGUGGCGAACGGGUGAGUAAUACAUCGGAACGUACCCAGUAGCGGGGGAUAGCCCGGCGAAAGCCGGAUUAAUACCGCAUACGCCCUACGGGGGAAAGGGGGGGAUCGCAAGACCCCCCACUAUUGGAGCGGCCGAUGGCUGAUUAGCUAGUUGGUGGGGUAAAGGCCUACCAAGGCGACGAUCAGUAGCUGGUCUGAGAGGACGACCAGCCACACUGGGACUGAGACACGGCCCAGACUCCUACGGGAGGCAGCAGUGGGGAAUUUUGGACAAUGGGCGAAAGCCUGAUCCAGCAAUGCCGCGUGUGCGAAGAAGGCCUUCGGGUUGUAAAGCACUUUUGUCAGGGAAGAAAUCGUUUGGGUUAAUACCCCGAGCAGUUGACGGUACCUGAAGAAUAAGCACCGGCUAACUACGUGCCAGCAGCCGCCGUAACAC